rnacentral:rRNA from 1 species
AUUGAACGCUGGCGGCAUGCUUUACACAUGCAAGUCGAACGGCAGCGCGGGCUUCGGCCUGGCGGCGAGUGGCGAACGGGUGAGUAAUGCAUCGGAACGUGCCCAGUAGUGGGGGAUAGCCCGGCGAAAGCCGGAUUAAUACCGCAUACGACCUGAGGGUGAAAGCGGGGGACCGAAAGGCCUCGCGCUAUUGGAGCGGCCGAUGUCGGAUUAGCUAGUUGGUGGGGUAAAGGCUUACCAAGGCGACGAUCCGUAGCUGGUCUGAGAGGACGACCAGCCACAUUGGGACUGAGACACGGCCCAGACUCCUACGGGAGGCAGCAGUGGGGAAUUUUGGACAAUGGGGGCAACCCUGAUCCAGCCAUGCCGCGUGCGGGAAGAAGGCCUUCGGGUUGUAAACCGCUUUUGUUCGGGAAGAAAUCCUCUGGGCUAAUACCCCGGGGGGAUGACGGUACCGGAAGAAUAAGCACCGGCUAACUACGUG